rnacentral:rRNA from 1 species
AUUGAACGCUGGCGGCAGGCCUAACACAUGCAAGUCGAACGGUAACAGGAAGCAGCUUGCUGCUUUGCUGACGCGUGGCGGACGGGUGAGUAAUGUCUGGGAAACUGCCUGAUGGAGGGGGAUAACUACUGGAAACGGUAGCUAAUACCGCAUAACGUCGCAAGCCCAAAGAGGGGGACCUUCGGGCCUCUUGCCAUCGGAUGUGCCCAGAUGGGAUUAGCUAGUAGGUGGGGUAACGGCCCACCUAGGCGACGAUCCCUAGCUGGUCUGAGAGGAUGACCAGCCACACUGGAACUGAGACACGGUCCAGACUCCUACGGGAGGCAGCAGUGGGGAAUAUUGCACAAUGGGCGCAAGCCUGAUGCAGCCAUGCCGCGUGUAUGAAGAAGGCCUUCGGGUUGUAAAGUACUUUCAGCGGGGAGGAAGGGAGUAAAGUUAAUACCUUUGCUCAUUGACGUUACCCGCAGAAGAAGCACCGGCUAACUCCGUG